rnacentral:rRNA from 1 species
AUUGAGCGCUGGCGGCAGGCCUAACACAUGCAAGUCGAGCGGAUGAAGGGAGCUUGCUCCUGGAUUCAGCGGCGGACGGGUGAGUAAUGCCUAGGAAUCUGCCUGGUAGUGGGGGAUAACGUCCGGAAACGGGCGCUAAUACCGCAUACGUCCUGAGGGAGAAAGUGGGGGAUCUUCGGACCUCACGCUAUCAGAUGAGCCUAGGUCGGAUUAGCUAGUUGGUGGGGUAAAGGCCUACCAAGGCGACGAUCCGUAACUGGUCUGAGAGGAUGAUCAGUCACACUGGAACUGAGACACGGUCCAGACUCCUACGGGAGGCAGCAGCGGGGAAUAUUGGACAAUGGGCGAAAGCCUGAUCCAGCCAUGCCGCGUGUGUGAAGAAGGUCUUCGGAUUGUAAAGCACUUUAAGUUGGGAGGAAGGGCAGUAAGUUAAUACCUUGCUGUUUUGACGUUACCAACAGAAUAAGCACCGGCUAACUUCGUG